AGUCAGACAUGACUGAGUGACUGAACUGAACUGAACUGAUAGCUGAUUCAUGUUAUUGUAGAGCAGAAACUAAUACAACAUUGUAAAGCAAUUAUACUCCAAUCAAAAAAUAGUAAAAAAAAUCUACUUUUGGUAAGCUAAGAGGAUCUAAUUAAGACAACAGCUUUCUGUUAGGUAAGCACACUGUUGUGUUGAGAUUGGUAGGCUAAAUCCAAGGAUGGCUUAUGAUCUCUACGAAUAUUCAUCAAUUUUAUUGGGUUCUUAAGAGUUUAGCUUUUAUUUUUAAAUGUUUUCAUAAAAAUAAAUACAAUCACUUGAAGAUCUGCACAGUGCCUUUCUCUCUGCAGUGUGCUUUAUAUCUCAUUGAUAACUUUGUUGCACAAAAGCAUGUUGAGGUUUACUGUGUGCUGAGCUCCAGGGCACAUACGCUAACCAGGGAAGACAGUCUCAAGGAGACUUCCUGCGGGAAGUAGGCUCUGAGCUGGACUCUGAAGGUGGGGGGAGGCUUGGGCAGGACACUGAGGAAGGGAAAGUUAAGAUGUUUCAGCAGUAGUAAGGGCCUGCGGAAAGCACAGAGGUGUGAGUGAAGGUGGGGGAUUAGAGGAGCCGAAAAUAACUUAGGCGGCUGGAGAAAAGGGUGACGGUGGGCUGUGGCUGUGGGUUCAAGGAGUGAGAAGCAAGAAAGAGGCACAAGGGAGUAAGCAGGGGAGACCUCAUGGAGGGCUUUCCCCGACACACCCAGGGGUCCAGGAACUUCCUAUCCUUGAUGGGCGCCAUGCCUGGAAGUUUAGAUUGAUUAUUGGCGGCACUGGGUCUUUGCUGCUGCACAAAGGCUUUCUCUAGCUGCGGCGAGCUGGGCAAUCCUCUCUAGGUGUGGCGGGGCCUCUGACNNNNNNNNNNNNNNNNNNNNNNGUUUAGGCUCAGCAGCCGCGGUGCAUAGGCUCUGCUGGUCUGUGGCAGGUGGAAUUGUCCCAGACCAGGGAUCGAACUCAUGUCUCCCGCAUUGGCAAGUGGACCCUUAGCCACUGAACCACGAGAGAAAUUCUGUCUGGAUUUUCUAACAGGGGAAUGAAGAGGGACUCUAUUAAAGUCUUAGAAGUGUCACUCUGGCUAUCCUGAGNNNNNNNNNNNNAAGAAGCCAGCUGCGGGGGCAGGGAAGCUGUUAGUUACAAGGCUCUUGUUUUGAUCCAGGCAAGAAAUGAAGAGGGUUUGAAAUCAGGGAGGAGCUAUGCUCAUAGAGGAGAAAAAGAGAAGGGGUCUCGAGAUAGAUAUUUCGGUGGGAGGCAGGACCCCACGGAUCAACCCCUGUUGGAGAGAUAGGGGAAUCCUGGUUGAGGGGUUAUCUGUGUGCAGGGGUUCACACAGCUAGGUGGGAGAAAAGCGCUGCUCUUCUGAAAAUGUUUGCCAGUACUGGUUUUCUUGACAUACCAAGAUGACUCCACGUCACAGGACUGCCUCGGAUGUAAGAGUUCAGACCAGUCCUCUCUGAAGCCCCCACUCAGCACCUGGAUUUUGUCCACAAGACAUGCUCAACACGAUAAACCAGAAAGAGAUGGAAAUCCCAUGUGCGGUUGCAUAACUUGCUUCUCAUCCUUGCCUUCUCAGGUUCCCCUGGCCUCACAGCAGAGAAGAACCUCAGCUCUGUGACGGAGUUCGCCCUCGCCGCCCUCACUGACUGCCCUGCACGGGCCUUGCCGC
ensembl:lncRNA